rfam:Medicago truncatula strain A17 chromosome 1, whole genome shotgun sequence.
UAAUAAGUCGAUAUACUAUCUCAAAAUAUCUGAUACAGAAAAAAUUAGCAUGGCCCCUGCACAAGGAUGACACGCACAAAUCGAGAAAUGGUCCAAAUAUUU